rnacentral:tRNA from 1 species
GCGCCCGUAGCUCAGUCAGGAUAGAGCAGCGGUUUCCUAAACCGCUUGUCGGAGGUUCGAGUCCUCUCGGGCGUA